rnacentral:tRNA from 1 species
AGCUAUAGUUUAAUAAAAACAUUCACAUGUCAGGUGAAAAAUCCCAGUAGGUUGCUUU